UUAUUGUUUUAAAUAGAUAUUCACUUAUUACAAAUUGUAAC
rnacentral:sRNA from 1 species